AGUCACUAUUCUGCAGGAUGGAACUCAAGUGCAGCUAAUGCCACUAAGUUCCAGAAAUAUCUCGCCGCAGAAAAUGGAGGAGGAGCUGAUCUUGUUGCCAACUGUACUUCAGCUUCAGCUUCAGGUUGGGAAACAUUCAAGCUAUGGAGGGUCAGUGACACACCC